rnacentral:lncRNA from 1 species
CUCCUCGGAGGGGUCCGCUGUCGGCGCGAACGCAGGUCGCUGCUCUACACGCGGGCACGGCGCGAGCUACGGGCACGCACCGAAGCUGAGCUUCGCCCUGACGGUGUGACCCUUCUGCUACGCGGAGAUUUGCCGGGUUUGCUUUGCAACUCGUUUUCCAUCCACGGUGCUGUUUCACCGGGGGAAGCGCGCGGUCGCAGAAAUAAACCGCUCUGGUGACAAAGCUGAAAGAUAAAUGAGCCUGUAGAGGUACGUAUUACACACUGCUCCAGAAGAGAUUCUCACUUAUCCGAAUGUUUUUUCCACUGGAAAGAUGUACUGAACCUUCUGGCAAGCUGGCUCUUCCUUACUUCUCUAUCUGCAAUCGGUGGUUGUGUUUCCCUUUUCUAAUGACAGCACAGCUACAGUCCAUCUACAGCAAAAACCACAGGGAAAAAAAAAA